GGCCGUGUGGUCUAGUAGUAUGAUACUCGCUUUGGGCUUGCGAGUGGUCCAGGGUUCAAUUCCCUGCUCGGCCC
rnacentral:tRNA from 1 species